UUGGAUUCCACUCAGUAGAAUUCAUGUUAAGGUUUAUAGUCGGAUAAGGAUGGAGCACAUUUGCAUUAGGAUUCCACUCAGUAGAAUUCAGAGGAAGAUUCAGAAGGAAGCAGUAGACCUUGUUUUUAUUCAAUAAGCAAAUCUGUUGGUUUUCUGGACAAAGAACUUGCUGCUAGUGGGUUUACUAGAAAAGAGCAAGAUGAUAUGGACAAGUUCGUCAAGAAGAAAAGGACCAGGAUAUAUGUUAUGAUGAUGAAGAAGAUAGUGCUGGAAGGGAUGAAACAAUCAUGAGUGAUGUUGACUCUUUGCAGAAGACCUGCAGAAGUGCUAUUUCGCCUAUUUGAGAAGUACAUGGCCUCUGAUUGAGUUGAAAAAAAUAUACAUACUCUGAUCAUUUUCUAAAUGGUCCAAAGUACAAUGGGCGUUUUGAAAUUUCACUUUCUUAGCGAUGCCUGCGUUACAUGACAUGACUGCCAACCCCGAUGGGAAUAAAACCUUACUCCUAGUUUUGUUGAUUUUCCGCUUGAUAUUAGCAGACUUUAAUGAGACCUGUUAUUGUUGAAUGAUUGAUUGAA